GACGAACGCUGGCGGCGUGCCUAAUACAUGCAAGUUGAGCGCUGAAGGUUGGUACUUGUACCGACUGGAUGAGCAGCGAACGGGUGAGUAACGCGUGGGGAAUCUGCCUUUGAGCGGGGGACAACAUUUGGAAACGAAUGCUAAUACCGCAUAACAACUUUAAACACAAGUUUUAAGUUUGAAAGAUGCAAUUGCAUCACUCAAAGAUGAUCCCGCGUUGUAUUAGCUAGUUGGUGAGGUAAAGGCUCACCAAGGCGAUGAUACAUAGCCGACCUGAGAGGGUGAUCGGCCACAUUGGGACUGGAACACGGCCCAAACUCCUACGGGAGGCAGCAGUAGGGAAUCUUCGGCAAUGGACGAAAGUCUGACCGAGCAACGCCGCGUGAGUGAAGAAGGUUUUCGGAUCGUAAAACUCUGUUGGUAGAGAAGAACGUUGGUGAGAGUGGAAAGCUCAUCAAGUGACGGUAACUACCCAGAAAGGGACGGCUAACUACGUGCCAGCCGCCGCCGUAA
rnacentral:rRNA from 1 species